UACGUAGGGUGCAAGCGUUGUCCGGAAUUAUUGGGCGUAAAGAGCUCGUAGGCGGUUUGUUGCGUCGGCUGUGAAAACCUGGGGCUUAACUCCGGGCCUGCAGCCGAUACGGGCAGACUAGAGUUCGGCAGGGGAGACUGGAAUUCCUGGUGUAGCGGUGAAAUGCGCAGAUAUCAGGAGGAACACCGGUGGCGAAGGCGGGUCUCUGGGCCGAUACUGACGCUGAGGAGCGAAAGCGUGGGGAGCAAACAGG
rnacentral:rRNA from 1 species